GUGAGCUUCCUCGAGACACGCAGUGCUGGCGUUGUUGGCCGUGAGUUCAGUGCUAAUGAAACAACAGUGUAUAUCAGACAAGGGGCCUUUAGACGGAGAUACACGUAAAACAAGAUCUCAGCUGAAAUGCCAGCUCCUGAUAGAAAGCAUUCCCACUCAAUGCCUUCCUUCAAAAGGAGUAUAUUGAGAAGGAAGCUGUGAACCUUUUACAAUGGAAGUAGGGAUUAUGGGAAAGCACAGGAGGAUAAGAAAGGUACUCUGUACAAAACUUUCAAUUUCCCAGGAGUGCAGAUCCCAAGAUUUUGUGCACAGUGUUAGAAAUAUUACCCUCUGAAUUUGAAGCAAUGGAAGUUAACAUCAAAUGGGAGAGUUAACAUCACCUGGAAGAAAUUAGCCAUCUGAAGCGUCUAGAUACCCCUGGAUGAACAAAUUAAAUUGACUUUCCAGUAUGACAAGAGUCGAGGACCUGAUCCAGACUUGUCUGCGCCAGUGGGUCCACACUCGGUGAACAGCCUAUCAGAUUGCUUCUCAUCAGUUUAAACUACAAUUGUCAUGGAAUGAUAAUCAUUAUGAGUAAACUGUCUUUUCAUUUCCCAGGUAGCUCAGAAUUAUGAUCAAAUAAUGUUCUCUUUUUGGCAGACUACUUCACUAGAUGAUACAUAGGAAUUUCUUGCUAGAUGUACAUUUCUAGGUGCAUGAUUAAUCUUUCCUUGAUGUUUUUAAUAUCAUUAUUGCUGAUGUGAAAUCUGUAUGGUUUUAUUUAUUUUGAGGCAUUCUCGGUAAUGUUAUCACUGAGAGGAAUAGAUUUAAUAAACUGUUCAUUAUCUCAUGACAUGUGAGAUGGAGUGAAAACAUAGGUAAAAUUGGAUCACAUUUAAGGCUACCUCUGAAAGCAAUACUAAGAUUAUAUUCCUGUGGAAAAAUGGAAGGUGUUUGCAAAUAUCUUGUUUUUCUAUAAAUAGCACUGCAGUUUGCUGGAAAGAUCUCAAAAGCACAAAAUAGAUUAGUUCACUGUUGAAGAAUUUAACUAAAUUUAACUAAAACGACACAUAAAUAUCUGGGAAGGAAAUGUGAAUUUGGUUCAAGGAGAAUGAAGACAGACAAAAGAAUCCUGCAAAGGAUAGCUCCGAUAAUAACAACAGUGCAAAUAAAUGAAAGGAAAUAAGCAGAGUCAGGUCGAAAAGGUUUAGGAAUUUAAGUGAGUUGUUUCCAAAAAGAAUGCUAUGUAAGUGAGCAAGCAAAGGUUCCAGCUGUCCUCGUAGAUUCCAGUUUGUCCUAGUCAGUUUCCGUUGACAUUAUGAGUCUGCUCUUCCCCCAACAUCCUCCCUGGUCGCUUAUCUGGCUGAUCUGCAAUGACUUCCGGCUGAAUUCUAGACCCAGAGCCAACAGCGCCACAAAUUACUCCAUCAGCUCCCACAAUUGCGUAAAGCCAAACUCCUAUAAUAAUUCCUUCAUUCCACAUCGCAUAGCAGUUCUGCUUAUUUCAUGGCGUCCUUACGGAUACUGCCAAAACGGAAACAAAAUUCUAGAGAAUAUUCAUUGAAACGGAAUUGAUGAGUGAAAGUUUAGUUUGUAUUUUGACAGACACAGCCAAAAUAUCUUCCCUGCAUGCUGCACCAAAACGCAAACACAAACACAAAGCCUUUUGUGAGGACAGUUUUGGAAAAAAUGGUAGAACCUCAUUCAGUGCAGGUAUUGUGUGCUGAUAAGAAGGAUAAAUAAUUCUUGCUAGUUAGUUUUCUAGAAUUCCCUAAUUCCUGUCAAUCAUUUUUUAAAACUUUUUCUAACCUGUGGAAUAUGGAAAUUAGAAACAUAAUAAAAAUAUUUUAUUUUCUUCAUUUAGGGUCUCUUGGCUUUUUAUUUUCCUUAGGAAGUUCUUCCCUAUUCCAAAAGUAUAAAACAGUCUCAGCAUCCUGAGUAAUGUUUGAAUCUGUGAUUCAGGUCAUUUGUUUGCUGAUUACCUUCCAGUUGUGCUUAAAAUAGCAACAACCCUCUUUGCCAUGCCACAGAAAGGUCUGCAUGCUUUCAAUGCUGUCUUAUCCAUUUUAUUUCAGGCCUUCCUCAGUCAUACACUGACAUUCUCUUGGUUCCUUUG
rnacentral:lncRNA from 1 species